rnacentral:rRNA from 1 species
AGUGAACGCUGGCGGUAGGCCUAACACAUGCAAGUCGAACGGCGGCACAGUAAGAGCUUGCUCUUACGGGUGGCGAGUGGCGGACGGGUGAGGAAUACAUCGGAAUCUACUUUUUCGUGGGGGAUAACGUAGGGAAACUCACGCUAAUACCGCAUACGACCUACGGGUGAAAGCAGGGGAUCUUCGGACCUUGCGCGAUUGAAUGAGCCGAUGUCGGAUUAGCUAGUUGGCGGGGUAAAGGCCCACCAAGGCGACGAUCCGUAGCUGGUCUGAGAGGAUGAUCAGCCACACUGGAACUGAGACACGGUCCAGACUCCUACGGGAGGCAGCAGUGGGGAAUAUUGGACAAUGGGCGCAAGCCUGAUCCAGCCAUACCGCGUGGGUGAAGAAGGCCUUCGGGUUGUAAAGCCCUUUUGUUGGGAAAGAAAAGCAGCAGGUUAAUACCCCGCUGUUCUGACGGUACCCAAAGAAUAAGCACCGGCUAACUUCGUG